GGGGAUGUAGCUCAGAUGGUAGAGCGCUCGCUUAGCAUGCGAGAAGGUACAGGCUAUCGUUACCCUGCAUCUCCG
rnacentral:tRNA from 1 species